AUUGAACGCUGGCGGCAGGCCUAACACAUGCAAGUCGAGCGGAUGAAGAGAGCUUGCUCUCUGAUUUAGCGGCGGACGGGUGAGUAAUGCCUAGGAAUCUGCCUGGUAGUGGGGGAUAACGUCCGGAAACGGGCGCUAAUACCGCAUACGUCCUACGGGAGAAAGCAGGGGACCUUCGGGCCUUGCGCUAUCAGAUGAGCCUAGGUCGGAUUAGCUAGUUGGUGAGGUAAUGGCUACCCAAGGCUGCGAUCCGUAACUGGUCUGAGAGGAUGAUCAGUCACACUGGAACUGAGACACGGUCCAGACUCCUACGGGAGGCAGCAGUGGGGAAUAUUGGACAAUGGGCGAAAGCCUGAUCCAGCCAUGCCGCGUGUGUGAAGAAGGUCUUCGGAUUGUAAAGCACUUUAAGUUGGGAGGAAGGGCAGUAAGUUAAUACCUUGCUGUUUUGACGUUACCGACAGAACAAGCACCGGCUAACUUCGUGCCAGCCGCCGCAGUAAGAC
rnacentral:rRNA from 1 species